rnacentral:rRNA from 1 species
AGUGAACGCUGGCGGCAUGCCUAACACAUGCAAGUCGAACGCAUCUUGGCAAUUUAUCGUCAAGGUGAGUGGCAGACGGGUGAGUAAGACGUGGGCAAUUUGCCUCGAAGCGGGGGAUAACCUUGGGAAACCAGGGCUAAUACCGCGUAAGACCACGGUCCGGCAUCGGACCGAGGCUAAAGUUCCGUAAGGGACGCUCCGAGGGAAGCUCACGACCUAUCAGCUAGUUGGCGGGGUAACGGCCCACCAAGGCGACGACGGGUAGGCGGUCUGAAAGGACGAUCGCCCACAAUGGCACUGAGACACGGGACAUACUCCUACGGGAGGCAGCAGUGGGGAAUAUUGGACAAUGGGCGCAAGCCUGCUCCAGCCAUACCGCGUGGGUGAAGAAGGCCUUCGGGUUGUAAAGCCCUUUUGUUGGGAAAGAAAUCCAGCUGGCUAAUACCCGGUUGGGAUGACGGUACCCAAAGAAUAAGCACCGGCUAACUUCGUGCCAGCCGCCGCCGUAA